CCUACGGGUGGCAGCAGUGGGGAAUAUUGCACAAUGGGGGAAACCCUGAUGCAGCAACGCCGCGUGGGUGAAGGAGCGUUUCGGCGCGUAAAGCCCUGUCAGCGGGGAAGAAGAAAGAGGUUACCCGACCAAGAAGACCCGGCUAACUACGGCCCAGCAGCCGCGGUAAUACGUAGGGGGCGAGCGUUAUCCGGAAUUACUGGGGGUAAAGGGAGCGUAGACGGCGAGGAAGGCCUGAGGUGAAAGCCCGCGGCCCAACCGCGGAACUGCUUUGGAAACUGUUUUGCUGGAGUAUGGGAGGGGUAAGCGGAAUUCCUGGUGUAGCGGUGAAAUGCGUAGAGAUCAGGAGGAACACCGGUGGCGAAGGCGGCUUACUGGACCAUAACUGACGUUGAGGCUCGAAAGCGUGGGGAGCGAACAGGAUUAGAUACCCGAGUAGUC
rnacentral:rRNA from 1 species